UCAUGGCGGGGCGCCAUGUCCGCCCAGGGGGCGUGGCCUCUUGAAGGUCGCGCGCCAGCUCGAGGCCGUCUAUUGGCCGAGAGGCGGGGCGUCGCGCAUGCGCUCUGCCCUCCCGCGACCCGCUUUAUAGACGCGCGGCGGCAGGCUGGGGACCGGCAUGGCGGGGCUGCUGUGGGGCUGGUGGUGCUGCUGCGCGCGGUCCGCCCGCUGCCCACCUCUGCGUCCGGCAACGGUUCCCUGGCUCAGUGCCUACCCGAGCAGUUCCACUGUUCGGAGCCGUACGACCCCCAGACCGACUGCUACCCCCUGGAAUGGCUCUGCGACGGUCAUCCCGACUGCGAUGAUGGACGGGACGAAUGGAGCUGCGGAACGAACUGGAGCACCGCGGUGCCCACCGCCGGCGGUACGGAGGCUUCAGCUGUCCCUUCACCCAGGCACGCUCUGCCAUCCAGGAAUCACGGCCGCAUGUGGAUGCUGAUCGUUGCAGUGCUCCUGAGCUGCCUGGUAGCUGUGGGUGGUAUCGCUGCAUGGGGGAAGUCUGAAGCAAAAAGCAGGUCUGACAUCUUCAGUCUCGAAAAUGUAUCCAGGGAGCAGUUGGUGCCUGACAAGAGCCAGGCAGACUUGUUCUCCUGACAGUUUGCCCUGAAGCAGCAGAGCUCUCCCCUUCCUUCCUCACUACCAGACAUGAGAGCUCAUUUGGCUGCAGGGAUUCCUGCGUGACCUGCUGUGAGAAGGUGCUGCCUUCUUUCAGUACUCUUACGCCCUUCCCUUGCUGCUGAGGGCUCUGAGCACUCGUGCUAGGACAGAUUUCCAGGUGGAUCUUUCACUGUGAGGUGGUAAGAUGGGACUGAACUGCUCUCCCUGCUGCUCACAACGGAAGCUGGCUGAAUUUGGACAUGAAUCUGAUUUGCUGUUACACUCAGAUCUCCCAUUGGAAAUGAAUCUUAGAUGGUGGCACUAUGGGACUGGAAAUAGGACAGGACCUUCCCCAGUGCUGUGAAAUCACCCCUCCGAAAGAUCACAGGAAUUCCCUCACUCUUUUUGCCUGCAAUGAUUAUUAUUGCUGCUUCUCAUCAACGUGGCCUUCAACCUGUAGGUUUAAUUCUCCAUGAAGGUGCAGUGCCAGGUGCUGUUCUACCACCCCUCUCAGCAGAGCUCACUGAACCCACACGCAUCAGAUGUGCACUCCCUGAGCCUCCUUUUGCUGGAGGUUUUGAGUGUUUGGUGUCUUGCUUUCAGCUUGAAAUAACGAGUUCCUUGGGUCAAAUGCUGUGAGCUCUGCUUUGUGGUUGUUUCUGCAUGGCUCUGUGCUGUGCUCUUUGUGUAACUGACAGUGUUGGAGUUGUGCUAUGUGACCCAACAGCAGCUCAGCACCACGCAGCCCCUCCUUCCCAGUCGGGGGGGAAGAAGAAAAAAAAGUAAUUAAUUUAUAUAUAUUUACAAAACAAAUGAUGCACAGUGAGUUUUCAGCAUCUGCUGACUGAUGCCCAGCUGGAGCACGGCGUGUUAGCAGCGUUCUUUAUUCCCCAAAGCCAAAACACAGCAUCAUACCAGACAAUGAGAACACCCAUCCUGUCCCAGCUGAAAGCAGGGCAGGAGAUUACUGACCCGUGCCUCUAAUUCAGUGCUGAGCUCUGUUCUGUGUGCUCCUUGCCAAGGGCUCAGCGAGUGCACAGAAGAUACAGAGCUGCUGGGCUGAGCAGAAGCUGCCCAUCAGCCUCAGAGCAGAGUGUUCUGCUCCUGUGUAGCAUGUAAGUGUGCAGCUGUAACCCAUGGCAGCACCUGGGCACAUUGCAGCUCAGUGUUCGUUGCACCAAAAGGUUGUGUGCAUGGCCUUGCCUCUGUUCCCAUAGGGACAAAUAGAGGUAGCUGCUGGGGAAUGAUAUGGGAGAAUAAAGAAUGAGAAGCUGGAAUGA